rnacentral:rRNA from 1 species
UCACCAGGUUGAUUCUGCCUGACGUAGACGCUAUUCCCUAAGAUUAACCCAUGCAUGUUUUUGACAUUUGAAAAAUGGACUGCUCAGUAAUACUCACUUUAUUUUAUGUACAUGUGAAAGUAACUACGUUAAAGUGUAGAUAAGAUGUGUACAGUAAGAGUGAGACCUAUCAGCUAGUUGUUAAGGUAAUGGCUUAACAAGGCAGUGACGGGUAACGGUAUUACUUUGUAAUAUUCCGGAGAAGGAGCCUGAGAGACGGCUACUAAGUCUAAGGAUUGCAGCAGGGGCGAAACUUGACCUAUGGAUUUAUUCUGAGGCAGUUAUGGGAAGUAAUAUUAUAUUGUUUCAUAUUUUAAAAGUAUAUGAGGUGAUUAAUUGGAGGGCAAAUCAAGUGCCAGCAGCCGCGGUAAUACUUGUUCCAAGAGUGUGUAUGAUGAUUGAUGCAGUUAAAAAGUCCGUAGUUUAUGGUUAAGAAGCAAUAUGAGGUGUACUGUAUAGUUGGGAGAAAGAUGAAAUGUGACGACCCUGACUGGACGAACAA